GUCGAGAAUCAUUCACAAUGGGCGAAAGCCUGAUGGUGCGACGCCGCGUGGAGGAUGAAGGCCUUCGGGUCGUAAACUCCUGUCAUCAGAGAGUAAAAGCCUGCCGUGAAUAGCGGCGGGUCUUGAUAGUAUCUGAAGAGGAAGGGACGGCUAACUUCGUGCCAGCAGCCGCGGUAAUACGAAGGUCCCAAGCGUUGUUCGGAAUCACUGGGCGUAAAGCGUGUGUAGGCGGCAGAGUAAGUCAGAUGUGAAAUCCCGGGGCUCAACCCCGGAACUGCAUCCGAUACUGCUCUGCUAGAGUAGCGGAGGGGCAUCUGGAAUUCACGGUGUAGCAGUGAAAUGCGUAGAUAUCGUGAGGAACACUAGUGGCGAAGGCGAGAUGCUGGACGCUUACUGACGCUCAAACACGAAGGCUAGGGUAGCGAAAGGGAUUAGAAACCCUGGUAGUCC
rnacentral:rRNA from 1 species